UUGUGCCGAAUUCUGCACCCCCGCCGUAAAAUGCACCCCCUGUCGGGAGCGCGCUUACGUCACUCGGUUGCGUCACCCGUCUCGAAAAGUAGCUAAACUCGGCUAAAAUCGCCUCUUUCGGCAUAAAAAUGUACAUAACAAGGUGAAUAAUCCAAGUUGUCUUUACUUUGGAUAUAUUAAUGGAUGGAUUAAUUGUGAUUCUUCAAUGAUUUCGCCGUCAUUGCCUUUAAUGAUUUCGUCGUCAUUCAGAGACAUCAAGGAGAACGAAUGUUUGCUGCUUCACUCGACGGGAUCCAAUACAUGUAUUUUAAAAAUAUGACAUUUUCUUUAACUGUAAGAAGCUCAUGGGUGGAUGGAUGAAUACAUUAAUAAAUGAAUGCAUCUGA